ensembl:snRNA U6 U6 spliceosomal RNA
GUGCUUGCUUUGGCAGCAUAUAUACUAUAAAAUUGGAACGAUACAGAGAAGAUUAGCAUGGCCCCUGCGCAAGGAUGACACGCAAAUACAUAACUCCCAUCAGGUAUCA